rnacentral:lncRNA from 1 species
GUGCAGAAAUCAUUUUGAUGAAACAGUGAACAAGAAAGUCGGGGCAUUCUGGGUAAUCAGCUGGGAGAAGCCCAGAAAAAUCUGACAGGAGUGGUGACAGUAGCAGCAGCAUGUCUGAUACAAGACCCCAGAAUAGUGAUUGGAGCAUUAAAGCCAUGGUAUUAUUCUAUUUGGAUUUUUUUUGCAUGUCCUACUUUGCUUAGACAUUUAAAUGUGUGAUUUGUUUCUACCAGGUGGUAUUCACUUUUUUUCUUUCAAGAUACACUCUUAUAUCAUAUAUACUUUUUAGUAUUCUUGAAAGUGUUUUGUUGGUUGUACAAGGAAUCGAUGAAACAAUGUCAUUUCGUCAAGGAAGGGGCUGUACUUUCCUUACAGAGCACAGCUCAUUAUGCGAGCCGUCCGUUAUUGCAACAUCUUGUCCAGGCAAAGGAUCCCCUUCUACUAAAUUGAACUU